rnacentral:rRNA from 1 species
AUGGCAGAAGGUUCAGCUCUCAAAUUUGGUAUAACACUGGCGCAGCGGGCGGGAUGUAAUCUCAUUAUUAACUCGGACAAUCUGGAGGUGAUUGAAACCAUGCAGGAUGAAGGACGGUCCGCGGGUGCGGCCGCGGCAAUUUUCGAUGAUUAUUUUCUUUACACUUGAGAUUUCAUUAGCACUAGAUUCGAACACUGUAAUAGAGAAGUAAAUAAGGUAGCUCACAUGCUCACUAGAUUAGCUAUAUUUUCUUUUCCUUCGGAUUGGUUUGAGGAGCCUUUAAAUGAAAUUGCAAUGAUCCUCACAAACGAUGUACUGGUUAUUUCUAAUGUAUAA